rnacentral:rRNA from 1 species
GAUGAACGCUGGCGGCGUGCUUAAUACAUGCAAGUCGAGCGAACAGAUCAGGCUCUUGUUCCUUUCACGUUUGCGGCGGACGUGUGAGUAACACGUGGGACACCUACUUAUCAUACUGGUAUCUCUUCGGGACACCGGCGCUAAUACCGUAUAAUAUUUCGAACCGUAUGGUUCGAUAGUGAAUUAUGGUUUUGCUAUCUCUUCUCGCUGGACCCGCGCCGUAUUAUCUAGUUGGUACGGUAAAGGCUUACCACGGCGACGAGACGUAGCCGACGUGAGAGAGUGAUCGGCCACACUGGAACUUGGACACGGACCAGACGCCUACGAGAGGCAGCAGUAUGCAAUCUGCCGCAAUGGGCGAAAGCCUGACGGAGCAACGCCACGUGAGUGAUGAAAAUCUUCGGAGCGUAAUACUCUGUUAUUAGUGGAGAACAGACUUGGAAUGAACUGAACACUGCUUGACGGUACCGAGUCAGAAAGCCACGGCUAACUACGUG